rnacentral:tRNA from 1 species
UAGAUAGUUUAACCAAAAGAAUUAGGCUGUGGCUCUAAAAACAGAAGUUUAAAUCUU